GACGAACCGUGCGAACGUUGUUCGGAAUCACUGGGCUUAAAGGGCGCGUAGGUGGUCUGUCAAGUCGGUGGUGAAAUCUUUCGGCUCAACCGGAAAACUGCCGUCGAUACUGACAGGCUCGAGGGAGGUAGGGGUUGCGGGAACUACCAGUGGAGCGGUGAAAUGCGUUGAUAUUGGUAGGAACGCCGGUGGCGAAAGCGCGCAACUGGAUCUCUUCUGACACUGAGGCGCGAAAGCUAGGGGAGCAAACGGG
rnacentral:rRNA from 1 species